GGAUUGUUAGCUCAGUAGGUAGAGCAUCCUCCUUUAAGGGGAAGGUCGCGGGUUCGAGUCCCGUACAAUCCA
rnacentral:tRNA from 1 species